AAGUCGUAACAAGGUUUCCGUAGGUGAACCUGCGGAAGGAUCAUUAACACGUGUUCCACGUAUAAACCACUGUGCACUCGUUCCGUACUGCGGGCGGUAAACCUGUUGCGAAGGGGAAUCUGAAAGGAUUUUCCUUUGCGGAGGUGGUCUCGUCCUGUCUUUGGACCCCUUUCUUUUUCAUUAAAGACUGGGUGCCUUAGGCGUUUACUAUUAACCUUUCUUUAAUACUUUGACUAAACUUACUGUUGAUUCAGCGAAAGCUGGUCGACAAUAUCUAUUUAACGAUAGAACAACUCUUAGCAACGGAUAUCUUGGUUCUC
rnacentral:misc_RNA from 1 species